GGGGGAGGGGGAAGGGAUAGCAUGAGGAGAUAUACCUAAUGUUAAAUGACGAGUUAAUGGGUGCAGCACACCAACAUGGCACAUGUAUACAUAUGUAACAAACCUGCAUGUUGUGCACAUGUACCCUGAAACUUAAAGUAUAAUAAAAAAAAAAGAAAAUAACCUUUUUCCUCCUCACAUCAGAGAAAUCUUUUCCCACAUUGUGGAGUGCUAUACGUGUGUGUGUGCAUGUGUGUGUGCAUGUGUAUGAACUUAAUCUUCCUCAUCCUCAGGGAAUUGUUCCUGCCUGGAGGUGAGGGAACCAUCAAUGGCCUUGUCUGAGAUGCACGCCUUGGUGCACAACAAACUCCUCUGCCAUCGCUUAGUCCUUCAAAGCUGACAGUGCUUUUAGAGGGAGUCUCCAGGGGUAUUUCACAUGGGCUCCCAGCCCUCUGCAUGUGCCUGGGCUGUUUCUCAGUUCCAGCCUGUUGAUCCCUGCACUGGCCAAGGGCUGAUGCUUCCCCUGCCAUGCUGACUUCAAGUCAUGCAGACACCUGAUGGAAGAGUCUUCCAGGCAGAAGGAAGGACAAAUACCCUUGAUAUACAUGUACUUGGCCGGCAUGAGGAAGAGCAAUGUGGAAGGAUACAGAUAGUUGGGAACAUAUAGUGCCUGUGAAUGACCAGUAUGCUCACUCCAAUAACAUCAGGCAAGCAAUUCCACAUAAUACUGAAGAAGGCUGUUGAAGUGACUGAAUCUGGCCAAAUAUUCUGAGCGUUUCGGAGGGAUUUUUAACAUUCUAAAUGCUAUCUGGAACAUCGAUGCAGCAUGGGAAGAAGUCACACAGCCAUGCAUGAACAGCAUUUGGAAGAAAGUUUUGAAGACAUAUGUGAACACAUUCAAAAUGUUAACAGAG
rnacentral:lncRNA from 1 species